CCGACCUUAGCUCAGUUGGUAGAGCGGAGGACUGUAGUUGGGAAAUGCAACAGAUAUCCUUAGGUCGCUGGUUCGAAUCCGGCAGGUCGGA
rnacentral:tRNA from 1 species